rnacentral:lncRNA from 1 species
AAUAGAGUUGUUCUUGUUGUACUGGAUACUCACACUAUUAUUGUUUGAAACCACAUAGUAGAAUUUAACUUAUAUAUAGCAUCAACCCUGCCUCAAAUUCAACAUUUGGUACAUUUCUAUUGCUUCAGGGGUGUUGGAUAUCCAUCGUUGUGGCCAUCAGCUACCUGCCAACAACCACUUGAUGUCAGCAACGACUUUACAUUUAAAGUGAUCGACGGAAUUCUUUCAGGUAAUACACAAAUUCUAAACUUGCACCAUCUCAAUUCGUUAUUGCAAAAAGGAAGAAAAUCAACAUUUUAUAUUAAACUUGGCAACAACAACAAAAGAUGGUUGAAUGGCCUGAAUAAAUAUAGAGCAUUUUGCAAAACAGAACAUAAUACAGUGGUAAUAUUGUUUUUUGUUGUCCAUUCAGAUUUUAGCAAGGUUUUUAAGUUCAAGUUUGUCCAUUUGGGAGGUGAUGAAGUCGAUACAAGUAAGUUUGUAGAUGUCUCGCAGUAGCGCAGAAAAUCUACAUGUGUUAAAUUAAUAGCCUAUUCACUCUUUACCAUGGAUUCCAGGUUGCUGGACUACCACACCACGCAUUAAAUCAUGGUAUGUGCUUUAGAGAGUUUUUGGGAAAAUAAGAUGUGAUAACCUUGGUAGUAUUUACAGUCAUCUAAUCCAUCUGGAAGUCUUUUUCCUGAUGUGCAGGUUGGUUCAACAUGGUAUGAAUGAGUCUGAUGCCUACAGAUAUUUUGUCCUAAAGGCUCAAAAGAUUGCAAUUUCACAUGGCUACGAGAUUAUUAACUGGUAGGGCGACUGGUAUAGCUAGUUUCUGCAUAUUCUGAUCUUUCUACUGGCUGUUCACAAACACUUUAUCAUGCUUGCAGGGAAGAAACGUUUAACAACUUUGGAGACAAGUUGGACCGCAAAACGGUGGUGCAUAACUGGUAUUUCCUAACCGCCUAUUGGCUUCAGUUAUAUAAAAAAAUAAGAGGCACAACCAGUAUUUGUUCAUCAGAAAUUAAAACUGACAUUCUGUUGUCGUAACUAUCAGGCUUGGAGGUGGAGUUGCAGAGAAAGUGGUUUCUGCUGGUCUGAGAUGCAUUGUCAGCAACCAGGAUAAGUGGUACCUAGAUCACCUGGAUGCUACAUGGGAAGGAUUCUAUAUGAAUGAACCAUUGACAAAUAUCUACAACCCAGAGCAACAGAAGUUGAUUCUUGGCGGAGAAGUAUGCAUGUGGGGAGAACACAUAGAUGCAUCUGACAUUCAACAAACCAUUUGGCCUCGUGCUGCAGCAGCUGCAGGUAUAAUAAGCAGAAUAUUCUCUUGACCUUCUAAUUGUAUGAAAAUAUUACAUAUUUAGCGGAUCUUUGACAUACAGUUGUGCCAUACCGAGGUUAUAGUUACAAUAUUUUUGACAUCUAUAUGUCACAACACAACACAGUACAACUUUCCCCGCAAAAAAAAAAAAACAGUACAACUUGAAGUAGUAUUAUGGUUGAUCAUCUAAAACUAUGGCAAUAGCAUCUACACAUUUUUGAAACGUUUUUUCUUGAAUUGAUAGAACAUCUAUACAGUCAAUAGACAGAGUGACAGAUUGGCCUCUGUACAUGUAGCAGAUCUGAUGCUAACUGAGUUGCAAUGAAUCUUUUACAUAAACCCAUGCUGCAUGGUAUUGAGAUGAUGUGGAGGUACAGCUCACACCAUGAGCAAAUGUUUCAUACAGAGUUUAAUGAAGUAAAAGCCCAUGAGAGCAUACAGUUAAAGCAUCUCUUCUCACAUAUGCAUCAUGAGUAUGGAAGUCUAUUAAUAUGAUCGCUUUUGAGUUAAACGCUUGCAACAUAGAUGAAUAAAUUUUAGUUUUGGUUACUUGCUGUGUAUCGCUUUUUUUUUUUGAGGGAAACAGCAGGACUCUGCUGCGUAUUUUUAUUGAUGUGUAUCGCUUUAUAAGUAAUCAAAGGAACAGAACAGGCGCCGGAUCUUAUUAAUUCUGAAGAUAUAUGUUAAAGCAUGCUACUUAAUAUUGUUAACAUAUACUCCCUCCGUUCCGAAUUACUUGUCUCGGAAAUGGAUGUAUCUAGAACUAAAAUACAUCUAGAUACAUCCAUUUCUGUGACAAGUAAUUCUGAACGGAGGGAGUAGCAUACAAUGUGCGAAUCUACCUCUCCAUCAUGUUGCUUUGACUCACCAGUUCACUUAUUAUUUUGUAGAGCGGCUAUGGACUCCCGUUGAGAAGCUCGCGAAGGACACAACGGCGG